UACAGAGGGGGCAAGCGUUGUUCGGAAUUACUGGGCGUAAAGCGUGCGCAGGCGGUUUUGUAAGCCAGAUGUGAAAUCCCCGGGCUUAACCUGGAAAUGGCAUUUGGGACUGCAAGGCUUGAGUGCGGCAGAGGAGACUGGAAUUCCUGGUGUAGCAGUGAAAUGCGUAGAUAUCAGGAGGAACACCGAUGGCGAAGGCAGGUCUCUGGGCUGACACUGACGCUCAUGCACGAAAGCGUGGGGAGCAAACAGG
rnacentral:rRNA from 1 species